AAUAACUCAAAGAUAAUAUUUAUGGUAACAGAAUUUGAACCUGAAUAUUUUACUCAAAAUCUAUGUGCUUAGCAACUUUAUAAUAUGUCCUACAAGGUCGUUAUCCUUGAAAUUUUUUAACUUUAAAAUUUUAAAACCUAAUGUAUGAAAGUAAGAGUCAUUGAAAGGUCAUGAGUGAUAGUAAAUAUCAAAAAUAGAAACAAAAAAUAAUAAUAAUUAAUAGUUAAAAAAUAAAAUUUGACAAUCUCAUUAAUAAUGAUUAGAAAACACGACGGAUAAAAGAAAGCACUCUGCAUUAGUGUGGAGUUUUGCAUGUGCAUUUGUUUUAAUUUAUGUUCAUCAUGUUGCUUUGUAUUACACAAAAGCUAGAAACAAAAGGGAAGCAAUGGGAAGUACAGUUUCUCAGGAAUGGCUGAAGGACAAGCUGGUAAGCAAGUUAAUGUUUGUAUUCUUCACAAUUUUUCUAUCAGGAGUCCUGGCUGAAUUUGCCUAAAAGGCCUUCCUUCUUCCCCUGCUGUCUAAAUAACUCCUAUUCAUUCUUCAACACCCAGAUCCAAUUUUUCUCAGUCUAGAAAGUCCACUUGACCUUCUGGGAUCCUACACCACCACAUCCUUUUCCUUCCUACAGUUUAUAAAAAGGUAUAGUAGAAUUUUUUUCUGUUUCAUCCACUGCAAAAACCAAAGCCCUACACUUAGUAGGUUGUUUAUAAUAGCUCUUGAGUAAAUGAACAAUCCUGCCAAUCAUCAUCUUUUAAUGCAAAGGAUACCAGGCAGUGAGCCAAGGAAACAGAAAUACAUACUUAUUCAGAUGUGCCAGGCACUGCUCUGAACACUUGAUUUGAAUGACUACAGUUUGUAUUCAUAACAGUAUUGUUGAGUAUGCACCUCUAUUUCCAUUUUAUAGAUGGGGAAACAAGCUCAAAGAAGAUAAAUUGUUCACCUCAGCAAGAAUUAAUUUAGCAUUCCUGAGGGAGACAGGACAAGUCAUGGGAAAAGAGUAUUGGGGAUCUGGAGAGCAAUUCAAAAACAUAAAAAAGAUGAAAUGAUACUGAUGAGAAUUUGGAGCAAGAUUCUGAGAUGACGUCUCUGUUCCCAUGGCUCUAGGCUGCUCUAGGUCAGCAUAGAGGUUAAAAGCAAGGAGAGCUGGAGCCACCCGUGCUAGGUUUAAAUCCUGCUCUACACUAUCCCCUUAUGUGACUAACCUUUCUGAGAUUCCCUUUAUCCAUUUAUACAAAUGGGCAUGAUAGUAAAAACAUUUACCUCACGGGGCAUUAUGAGGAUGGAAUGAGGUCAUAUGCGUGGUGAGCUUAAACCAUCCUUGGCACUUAGAAGGCUUAAAGGCAAAGGUGUGAACUGCUAUUUUUCAAUGCUCUCAUCAGGAACCAAGAAAAAGACAAAGCUACACAUUAAAUAAUGAGUAUUGCUUCAUGGGACACAGACCAGAGGAGGGUGAGCAGAAAAGAAGGGGAUGGUCCAUGUGGUAAAGGGAUCCUUGAGAACAUUAUUUAUUGUGGCGGAAGAACACUUAGGAGGUACGCGGCAGCGGCCACGUAGGCAAUGCUUACUCUCUAAGGCACAGGACCAAAUUCUCGCCUGCAUCACCAUGAUCGUCUUCACAACAAGACCACUAGGGGAUAAUGCCUCUUUGAAGGUUUUUCUUGAAAUGCAUAUUGGUCAUUUUAUACAAAGGAAAAGAAGGGGCGAAGAACGUGACCAUGGUCACAGAGUAAGUACAAAAGCUGGGAUCAAACCCAGAUUUAUCUUGGGUCAAAGCUCAUGUCCACAGCACCAUGCCCUGCAACCCUAGGGGUCUGCUUCCUCCUCAGGAGACUUUGCUAUCUGCUGCAUUACCCUCUCUGUGAGUAAUGCUCUCCAACAACCAAAGGCAGGGGAAGAGGAAAUUAAUGUAUUCUCUGUCAUUCCAAAGGGCAGAAUGAACGUAGCUUCUAAGAAAGGAACUUUAGUUCAACAUUAGAACAGACCUUCAGCUAUAAUGAGGCACCUGUGGAAUCAGGGAACUAUCUUAACGUGGCAGACAGGUGUUGAGUUUCACCUCCAAUUCUUCCUGGCUAGGACAAUAUAUGUGCUAACACUCUCUACCUCUCAGUCUUCUCCUCUGUAACAGUAACUCAAGAAUCCUGGAGUUCCCAUUGUGGCUCAGUGUUAAUGAACCUGUGAUGCAGGUUCAAUCCCUGGCCCUGCUCAGUGGGUUAUAAGGAUCUGGCAUUGCUGUGAGGUUGAGCGUGACUCAGAUCCUGCCUUGCUGUGGCUGUGGAGUAGGCCAGCAGCUGCAGCUGCAAUUAGACCCCUAGCCUAGGAACUUCCAUAUGCCAUGGGUGUGGCCCAAAAAAGACAGAAAGAAAAAAAGAAUCCUCAAGUCACUCGGAGAAUAAGAUUAUGUAUACAUUGCUGAGAGGCAACAUGUGUUUGCUCCUUCCAUUUACUCUAUUUUUUAAGUAAUUAGAGCUGUUCAAUAAUGCAGUGGGAGGUAUUGAUUCCCAUUCCCAGUCCCUGUAGAUGCGAAAGCAAAAGAGUGUUGGUGAAGUGAGAGGGCUCUGCAGGGUCAACCCAGAACUGAAGGGACAGAAGAACUUCAGGGACCCUCUAGCCCUAAGAUUCUAGAAAAGUAGAAAAGACAGAUCAUAUGGAGGAUGAUAAAACCAGGACUCGAAAUGACUCGCUGGUUUAAUCAGGUUGUUAAAACGCAGGCUAUGAAACUGAGCAGGGUGAAGGAUCAAAAGAAAAAAGUAGUAUUUGAAUUUGGAAAAAAAAAAAAAAAAACAAGAGCAACAGCAACACAACUUGUUGUAGAGGAAAGGGAGGUAAUUUGGUCACGGUACAAGUGAAAACAUGCUGGGAUGGUUUGUCAAUCACCAACUCAACGUGUGAAUUCAUUUCUAAAGCAAACAGAUAAACAGCAACAAAGAAUAGCUUCAGUUCUCUAGGCUAUGUUGCAUUUUGAAAGAUUCAGAAUCUAGGUCAGGCAUCUUAGUGUCCCACUAUCCCAUGUACAUCUCACUGGGAGAAAAAGUCCCUGCUAAAGUCCUAAAGUCACCAUAUAGGUGGAAAAUAGCCUAAACGAAUUUUGAAAAAUACUCAUGUUACACAUAAAGUAUACAUAGUUUGGGGUAAACAACCCACUUAGGUAAACUCUUAUGCUCAAAAGAAUUUAAGCACUGCAGGGCUAAAUUAUGUCAAAAUUAAAAGUCUAACCAUUUUAUGUUUUAAAAGUUUAAAAAAUCCCUAAUGGGGAAUGAGAAAUGGGUGAAGGAUUAUAGUGGUACUGCUUGUCUUCAAGGUUUACUCAAUUUUUUAAAAAAAUCAUUAAGACUUUAUAACUUAUAAAUAGAUUGUUGUGUAGAUUAAGUGAGCUAAUAUAUUCUGAUCACAACCUAUCAUUAAAUUUUAAGAGGCAGAUUGACAAAUCAGAUUGGUUUGCCCAGGCUGGGGGAGGGGGUACUGGAAACUGCUAUAAAGCAGGAUUCAGCAAACUAUGGCCUGUGGGAAAAACAUGACCAACAGGCUAUUUUUGUAUAACUGCAAGGGAUAAGUGGUCUUUACAUUAUUUAAAAGUAAUAAACAAGAAAAAAAGAAAAAAAAAAGGAAGAGGAAGAAAACUAUGUGGCAGAUGCCCUAUGUGGUCUGCAAAGCCUCAGAUAUUUAUAUUCUGGCCCUUUAUUUAAAAAAAAAAAAAAAGUUUGCUUAUUGUGGCCAUAAAGGGAAGUCUUUGGAGAUUUUCCCCUGCAAAGGAGAAGACUAAUUUCUCCCUCCUCUGGGUUUCUGUUCAUGCUCCUUAAUGUGCCUCAUAACCCCCUCCCCCAUUGCGACCUUCUCCGGAUCUCCAAUGUCAUCUCUUGCUCUUGAAAUACUAAAUGGUCUGCAGUUUGCCACCUCUGGGGCACUCUUUUUCCCCUCUCGGCCUUUGCAGCUGCUGUUCCCAGUGAAAGUCACCCACACUUGAAUUUCAGCUUUCCCCAAAAGUCAUCACUCUAGGCUCAAUGGCAGACUCACAGAAUUUCCAUACACCUACCACGGGGUAUGGAACUUUCUGGGUUAGGUAUUGAAUCCAAGCAGGAGAUGCUUCCUAUGACAGAGCUGCAGCAAUGCCAGAUCCUUAACCCAAGGCACCACAGAGGGAACUCCACAGAAUUCUUUCCUUCUAAGCAACUUCAUUUAACUAAAAGCAUCUGUUCCUUCAUGGUCUCUCUACCUAGAAUCUGGAGUCUAGACAUUAUGUUCCUAUAAAAUAGGGAUACCCAUUAUUAAUUUAUCCCUUUAGCACCUCAGGCUGUGCCUAGAACCUGGUGGGCUAUUAGAAAAUGUUUUCCAAACCAAGGCAGAUAUGUUACCUGCUAGCAGAACUGUUAGUGCAGGAAGGAGUUGACUGCUUUGAGACGCCUUCAGAAAGCAAAACUGAGAAAAAAGAGAGAAAGUUGUAGUGAAAAAUAAAAUGACUUGUCCAAAUUCCUAUUGACAUUUUGGAAUAGAUAAAGAGAGAGAUUUUAUCAUCAAGAAGACCCAAAACAUGACAACAUCUUAAUUUCAAAUUGAGACUUUAAACAAAGGAAUUCACUAUGAAAGCCAGUUUUCUCAUCUCUAGCCUGGAGAUUUUAACACCUGCCUCAUAGGAAUGUUGGACUGAUUAAAACCAUGUACAUUAGAAGGCCAAUAUAAUAUCUUGCUCAGAGCAGACACCUCUUUCUCCCCUUCCUAAUUCCUCAGGCCCUCAGCUUCCUCCCCACCUCGCCCCUGACUGCACUGGAAAAGAACAAGAGAAUUUCCACUAAACUGCUCCAAACAUUUCAUCAAAGUUUCCCCUGACUUAAUAUACCACCCCUGGAAGAUAAACACUAGGGUUCUGUCAACAGAGGCAGGCUAUGCAUCCAGAGAAGACAGUUCAUAGUAAUUUUGUCAGCAAAAUUGUAACAAUAAAGGCCCAAACAACACUUCAUCUCCCUGUCAGUUGUCUUGAAAGGGCAGAUUACUUUUUCCUCAAUCUUGGCACAUCCAAUUAAGGUAGACUUACAAGCUAGGCAGGUGUAAAGUGCAAGCCAGCACUUGUUCACAUUAGCAAUUAUCAAUGGGAAACUUCGUGACUGCAAAGGCUUGGCAUUACGGUUGCCCUGGCAACCAUCAGCCUGCAGAGGCCCAGCGGACAUGGACAUGAAAGCUUGACACCACUGUCCUAAAAAAAAAAAAAAAAAAAAAAAAA
rnacentral:lncRNA from 9 species